UACGUAGGGGGCAAGCGUUGUCCGGAAUCAUUGGGCGUAAAGAGCGUGUAGGCGGCUCGAUAAGUCCGCUGUGAAAGUCCAGGCUCAACCCUGGAAGGCCGGUGGAAACUGUCGGGCUAGAGUCCGGAAGAGGCGAGUGGAAUUCCCGGUGUGAGCGGUGAAAUGCGCAGAGUAUCGGGAGGAACACCAAUGGCGAAGGCAGCUCGCUGGGACGGUACUGACGCUGAGACGCGAAAGCGUGGGGAGCAAAGCA
rnacentral:rRNA from 1 species